GUAGGUGGCAAGCGUUGUCCGGAAUUAUUGGGCGUAAAGCGCGCGCAGGCGGUUCUUUAAGUCUGAUGUGAAAGCCCACGGCUCAACCGUGGAGGGUCAUUGGAAACUGGAGAACUUGAGUACAGAAGAGGAAAGCGGAAUUCCACGUGUGCGGUGAAAUGCGUAGAGAUGUGGAGGAACACCAGUGGCGAAGGCGGCUUUCUGGUCUGUAACUGACGCUGAGGCGCGAAAGCGUGGGGAGCAAACAGGAUUAGAUACCCUGGUAGUCCACGCCGUAAACGAUGAGUGCUAAGUGUUAGGGGGGUUUUCCGCCCCCCUUAGUGCUGCAGCUAACGCAUUAAGCACUCCGCCUGGGAGUACGGCCGCAAGGCUG
rnacentral:rRNA from 1 species